AGCAGCUCAGUUUGGUUCGGUUAAAAUCAGCUUACUUCGGAUCUGCUCAAAUGUGUGAACAAUAUCAGCGUGCGGAUCUUGCCCAGCAACCAAAACAGAGAGCCAUAUAAGCUGAGGGGCCUUAAAGACCAAGGAGGGGAGUACGGUGGACCCGAGAGACCUGUUUAAAAACCUGUUAAUCAGCCAGAGAGCAAAUCGGAGAGAUAUAUAGCGAUGGAGAGCAGAAUGCAGCGGCGAUUGCUGCGCUUUUGGUGCAACUCAAGAGCUGUACUUUUGCAUAGUCGGCGAACAGAAAAGAGAAACAGCAAACGGGUCGAGCAAAUCCCAAAUGAUGACUGGGGAAGUGAGGACACAUGCAGGACUCUCAAACAGAGAAUUUUGUGUACGAGCAUUUCAGUGGAUGGGGAGCAAAAAGGAAAAAUACGAAGAGGAAUUUCCUGCCAGGAGCUUCCAAAAGCAGUUGUAUACAAAUUUUGGUCAAAUUUUCUCAACGUUCUGACACAGAAAAUCAAAAUUCACUCAGUCAAACAUAUUUACAUUUUUAAUUACCAUUAAAAAAUAGUUUGAACUACGAAUAACAUCUGCCCCACUGCCACUACAUUAACCCCUUGACGGUCCCCAUGGCCAUCAGCGAAGGCGUUUUGCAAUGAAAUUAUUAUUUAAAUGAAAACAGCAAUGGAAAAGUGAGGCGUUGGAAAAGGACGAUGACAACAAUUGCAAUAACAACUAAAUGGAGGGAAACAGCAGUGGAGGAGGAGGAGAUCAGGGGGGCGUGGGGGCGUGGCAAGGACGAUAAUGUCGACGGAGUGACAAUGCCAACAGCGAACAUAACAGCGAAAAUGUUAAUAAUUACAUAAAUAACAACAACAACAGCAACUGGAGUGAAACAAAGAUGGAAAAUGGGGAGAGAUUUCAAGAGGUUUGGGUCUUUUUUCCAGGCAAAAUGGAAUCUCCCGUUUGUAUAUUCAUAUA